rnacentral:lncRNA from 1 species
AUCAAUCCGUCAGUCGGGUAGUCAGUCAAUCACAGGCAGAGCUGCAUGACCUCAGCCCUGCCUCGCUAUGGGGCCUCUCUUGAUAGCAGAGAGCAGAGCUAGCACGUGUCCCUACAGGCCACCUACCUUUUCACCAGCCCUUUGAAUGUGUCUGUGGAGACAGAGUGGGUCCAAGCUGGUCCCUGAGGUUUAUGGUGACGGCUUCUGUUGCUGACUGCAGGUUUUGUCAUUGCCUCUUAUCUUGCCAGCCCCACGAUCUGGCAUCAUUCAGCCUACCUACUCUAUUAGCACAUUUCUCAUCCUCUGCCCAGUUGGAGCUCCAAGGACACUUGGCCACAUACUUUGAAUAAAACUGGAAUUUUUAUGACCCAACUGGUUCCCUAAUUAGCUUUUUCUGCUUUACUCUCACUAUUAUUUGCAGGAUAGGAUGCAAUUCCAAGGUUGAGGCUUCUCUGAGAAGCUUGCAAACUACCAGUCUAUCACUCCAGUGAAGUAGGAAACAGUUCUCUUUUUUGGAGAUUCUCUAAAACCUCUCUCAAUAUGUCCAUCCUUUCCUUCCCUUGAUCUUAAUCCCCAAGCAAGGAUCCAGGAUAUGCACAUGAACUCUUGCCUCAUCCUCCCCUCUCCUUUGUCAUCAUUUCUACUUCCUUCUGGAAAAAAUAGCCCUAACACCAAAGAUCUCUCCUUUACUCAGCAUGAUUCAGCCACUACAAAUUAUGGCUGCCUUUUGGGCUCCUUGUGCCUGGCUACCAGCAGGUGAGAAGAGGAGUCAUCGUAAUGGCUGUGGUAUUUGACCCAGACCAGCAGGCUGAGGUAGGGCUGCUUUUACCAAUGGAGGCCUGAGGAAUACCUGUGGAACUCAGGUGAUCCUCUUGCAUACCUCCUGAUGAUCUCUUGUCUUGUUGUAACUGUGAAUGGACAUGUGCAGCAACCCUGGACUGAGAGGGGCAUGACUAACCUUCUGGAAUGAAGGAGUUUUCCCUCGGAAAGAAAAACCCACAGCAGGAGCUGCUACCUGGACUUAUGUGAAGUAGAUCUGUGCAGCACAAGGGGAAGAUUAGCCCUGAACUAACUACUACCAAUCCUCCUCUUUUUGCUGAGGAAGACUGGCCCUGAGCUAACAUCCAUGCCCAUCUUCCUCUACUUUAUACAUGGGACACCUACCACAGUGUGGCGUGCCAAGCAGUGCCGUGUGCGCACCCGGAUCCGAACUGGUGAACCCUAGGCCGCCAAGAAGCGGAACGUAUGAACUUAAUUGCUGCGCCACUGGGCUGGCCCCUAUUUUGUAUUGUGAAUAAUUCUUUGCUCCAUUAAAGCAAAUGGCAUGCAGUAGGCUUGAUUGUUAUUUUGAGUUUUACUUUUGUUCCUCUUUUUCAUUGGAUAAUUGUAAAUCUGUGACUUGAGCCUCAGAUGAAAUAUACUUUCACCAGCCGUAUGGCUCCUUCUGCAGCAUCAAGUCACGAAGAUUCCAAAGACGCCAUGUAAGAAUGAUUCAUAUGAACAUAUGGCUUACAUCAUGUGCAUUAAAAUGCUGUGCUGCUGCUCUCUUAUUUCUUUUAAAUUUGGAAAAAUUUCUUUUUUUUUGUUUCUUAAAUAAGCGUUACUGAGUACAGACUUGUUCUUUCCCAAAUCUGUUCUCUUAAAAUUUCUCAACGAGUUAUUUAACCAAUUUUUUAACCUGUUAAAUAAGAUUUCAUCUAUUAUAGGCAUUGUCCAUCUCUGAGAAGUUACUGAUGAUUCUUAACUCACUUGCCAACUUGUGGGUUAGAUUCCGUUGGAUGUCAAAGAAAUCUGUAGAUGGAAUAGGUGAAAGAUAAUGCAGGUGGUGUUCAUUCCAUCUUAUCGAGUUGCAACUACCACAGUAUUUCUUAUGGCAAACAUGGAAAACAUUUUCAAGACGUAGUAAAAUGUGUUCUUAAAUAUAUAUUUGCUGUUUAUUUGGAAGGUAUUUUAAUUAGCCUUUGUAGUUUAAUAAAUUUUAUUGAGAUAUAAUUGACAUAAACUGUAAGCAUUUUCUGUGUUUACAUUUCAAUGAAUUUUGACAAAUUUAAAGACAAUGAUCGGAAUAUGGAGUAUUUCCACCACUAUGAAAAUUCCCCCAUGCUCCUUUCCAGCAGUCCUCCUGCGUCACUGACCGAUUCCAGACAACUGUCAGCUUGCUUUAUGCCAGGACUGAUUGAUCUGCAUCCUCUACAUUUCCAUAUAAAGGAAAUCAUAUAGAAUAUGCUCUUUUGUGUCUGACUUCUUUGCUCAGAAUAAUUAUUUUGAGAUUCAUCCAUGUUGUAACGUGUAAAUAUCCAAUCUUUUCAUUGUUGAAUAGUAUCCUAUUAUAGGGAUGUGUGCACAAUUUGUUUAUCCAUUCACCUGCUGAUGGACUCUGGUUUGUUUCCAGAAUUUUGCUAUUACAAAUAAAGUUGUUAUGAACAUUGGUGCAUAAGUCUUUUUGUGGAUGUGUAUUUUCAUGUGUCUUGGGUAAUUACCUAGAAGUGGAAUUAAUUUUAUAAGAAUAUAAAACAGUUUUUCAAAGUGGUGGUUCCCAGCCUUUAUAUUUUUACCUUUGCAUGUAUAUAUAUAUUCAUUUACAUAUAUGUAGGAAAACUACUAUCUAUCUGUCUAUGAAAACUACUAUCUAAUAAGGCUCAUAGUUGGUAUGAUAUAGAAUAUACUAAUAAGUACAGUUCAGAAAUAUUUACACAUAAAUAUACUUCACAUUCUAAUUGAUAAUCACUAUUUCCACAAUUUAUGCAAUGUUUGUCUAUUCCUGUGUAAUGAAAUGUUUUGCAAGAUUAUUCUUAUAAACUUUAAGGGAUUAAUAUAAUUCAUUUAAUCAAUAGUGUUCUACAGUGAUCCUUCUGUUUUUUAUUAUAAGAAUGCUAUAGUAAGUAUUUUUAUACUUCAUCUCGAUGUGCGUUUCAGAUUAAUUCUUCCAAAGAAAUUUCUAACUGUAACAUUAUGGGUCAAAUAAAAUGAACAGUUCUUAAAAGUUUUGUCCGGAUUUCUGAAUUGUGC